rnacentral:rRNA from 1 species
GGCGGCGUGCCUAACACAUGCAAGUCGAACGGAGAAUAUACGCUUCAGAAGCUUCGGCAGAUGAUUGUAUAUCUUAGUGGCGGACGGGUGAGUAACGCGUGGGCAACCUGCCUCAUACUGGGGGAUAACAGCUGGAAACGACUGUUAAUACCGCAUAAGCGCACAGUGUCGCAUGACACAGUGUGAAAAACUCCGGUGGUAUGAGAUGGGCCCGCGUCAGAUUAGCCAGUUGGCGGGUAACGGCCCACCAAAGCGACGAUCUGUAGCCGGCCUGAGAGGGCGGACGGCCACAUUGGGACUGAGACACGGCCCAAACUCCUACGGGAGGCAGCAGUGGGGGAUAUUGCACAAUGGAGGAAACUCUGAUGCAGCGACGCCGCCGUGAGUGAAGAAGUAUUUCGGUAUGUAAAGCUCUAUCAGCAGGGAAGAAAGGCUCGUAAGAGAGAUGACGGUACCUGACUAAGAAGCCCCGGCUAACUACGUGCCAGCCGCGGC